UGACCAACCUGCCCCUUGCUCUGGGAUAACCCCCGGGGAAACCGGAGCUAAUACCGGAUGCGAGACCGCGCGGCAUCACGCGGUCUGGAAAGUUUUUCGGCAAGGGGAUGGGGUCGCGGCCUAUCAGCUUGUUGGUGGGUAAUGGCCCACCAAGGCGACGACGGGUAGCCGGCCUGAGAGGGUGACCGGCCACACUGGGACUGAGACACGGCCCAGACUCCGUACGGGAGCA
rnacentral:rRNA from 1 species